rnacentral:rRNA from 1 species
AUUGAACGCUGGCGGCAGGCUUAACACAUGCAAGUCGAGCGGAGUGAUGGUGCUUGCACUAUCACUUAGCGGCGGACGGGUGAGUAAUGCUUAGGAAUCUGCCAUUUAGUGGGGGACAACAUUCCGAAAGGAAUGCUAAUACCGCAUACGUCCUACGGGAGAAAGCAGGGGAUCUUCGGACCUUGCGCUAAAUGAUGAGCCUAAGUCGGAUUAGCUAGUUGGUGGGGUAAAGGCCUACCAAGGCGACGAUCUGUAGCGGGUCUGAGAGGAUGAUCCGCCACACUGGGACUGAGACACGGCCCAGACUCCUACGGGAGGCAGCAGUGGGGAAUAUUGGACAAUGGGCGGAAGCCUGAUCCAGCCAUGCCGCGUGUGUGAAGAAGGCCUUUUGGUUGUAAAGCACUUUAAGCGAGGAGGAGG